UGGGUUUUCAGCUUUCCUUGACUGAGAUCUCUGGACUUAAAAUGUUGAAGACUACUUCAGUUUAAAAAUAAGAAAAUACAUGAAACAUCGUGAUAAGAUUAACACUCCAUAAUUUAGUGUUAUUAAAACAUGCAAAACUUGUAGUUUAUUUAACUAUUAGCAGACCCUGAACACAAAAUAAACACAAAACACUGUCUGUAAUAACUGAAGUGGGUCUCACACAGAAAAACAGACAGACAGACAGAGAGAAGGACUUAAAACUUCCAAAUGCUGGUGGAAGAAAGAUAGGUGCAGGGCAGGGGGGGAUCCCUGGGUGGCUCAGCAGUUUAGUGCCUGCCUUUGGCCCAGGGCGCGAUCCUGGAGUCCCGGGAUCGAGUCCCGCGUCAGGCUCCCGGCAUGGAGCCUGCUUCUCCCUCCUCCUGUGUCUCUGCCUCUCUCUCUAUGUCUAUCAUAAAUAAAUAAAUAAAUAAAUAAAUAAAUAAAUAAAUAAAUCUUAAAAAAAAAAAGAAGAAGAAAGAUAGGUGUGGUCUCUGGACCCCAGGAUGGACCUGAUAAAAGUGAUGUGACUGACUAUGGGAUUUGGUGAUGGGGAGGGAAAGCAGAGUGCUGACAGCCCCUAUGGGUCCCAGGAGAUUCUCGGGGGUCUCUGAGCACCUGCAGGGCUCUGAUUCCUGGUGUGCUUGGUGGUUUAGGAGGAUCAGAAAUGACAGGCCUAGAAUUGGUGCCUGAGACCUGUGCCUCUCGUUACAAAGCAGUGCCUGCCUCCUCCAAAAGUUAACUUGUGUUCAUUCCAGGAUAAAAUCAUAUCCCGCAAGUCCCAGGAUCAAAAUUAGGGACCCUGGUCCCUCACAUUUUGCUUUAAGAUCGUGCGCAGAUGCCUAGCACCUCCACUGCCUUCCUGGACCAGCCCAUCUGUUAUUAAAACUGAGAGAAUAAGUACCUUCCCGGAGGGCGGCAGGAGGAACGGGCAGGGAACUCACGGAGACCGUGGAGCCCCUCUCACCAGCUGUGGGUCCAACCCCUGGUGUCAUCGUCUCACUCGGCUGAAGACACACCUGGAACCUGCUCUGUCCUCCAACCCCCGUCACUAAUCCUACAGCGAGAUGGGGAAGAUGGUCCCCGGGGUUGCCCUCUCCUUGGGGGAGGUGGCACAGAUGGUGUGUAUACUUUUGCUUGGGGACAGCAUGUCGGGGAACGGCUCCUGCUGCCCUUCUCAGCCUCAGCACAUUUCCCCCCGUGGGCACACAUGCCGGGAAGAACUGUCCAUCUCCACCAAAUAACCUGGACCCCACCCUCUGAAUCCCAGGAGGUUCCUCCCUCCUCCCCAUUUCCUGCUCUUUCAGCCCCACAGGAGAAGUGCCAUCAGUUCCGGCCGCUGGCAUCGCCACCUCCAGACCAG
rnacentral:lncRNA from 1 species